CCCACCUAGAGGUAGAGCGUAGUCUCCUCGUGCUAUUCCCCCUGUUCCCCCUCGCCGCCGUCGACCCUAGGCGCCGAAAUCCGGCCACCCGCCCCUCCUCUGUUUCCCAACCCGGCCAGGGACCCACGGUACGAUAGAUGAACCACGUGAGGGAUGUGACAUUGAAGCCGAGCUAGAAGACGGUGAAUGGUGGACACAUCUAGAAGAUGGAUGGAUGGAUCCCGAUGUGCAUGACCGAAGGCAGAUGCUCGCCAAGCAAGUAUCAUCUAACUAACACUGACUCAGUGUUAAUCCCAGACAAGCCCCGGAGCAUAACCUAUUAUUUUAACUUAAGAAAUGUUAUAUAUGUAUUUAUUUGCUUA